rnacentral:rRNA from 1 species
UACGUAGGGAGCAAGCGUUGUCCGGAAUCAUUGGGCGUAAAGAGCGUGUAGGCGGCCCGAUCAGUCCGCUGUAAAAGUCCAGGGCUCAACCCUGGAAGGCCGGUGGAUACUGUCGGGCUAGAGUCCGGAAGAGGCGAGUGGAAUUCCUGGUGUAGCGGUGAAAUGCGCAGAUAUCAGGAGGAACACCAAUGGCGAAGGCAGCUCGCUGGGACGGUACUGACGCUGAGACGCGAAAGCGUGGGGAGCAAACAGG